GAGACACAUCUAGCUGAAUGAGUCUGUCAAGAUGAAAUAAACUUGAUGGGAUAAUUGAUGAUAACUGGUUGGCAGACAAUAUCAGGUAUUCUAACUUGGUCAGGUUACCAAUCCCCUCUGGUAUUGAACCAGACAAUUUAUUGUUGUAGAGGAACAAACGUUCUAUAUUCUUGAGCAUUGCAAUCUGAGGUGGGAUGGACCCAAACAACUGAUUUCCGUCCAGGUCAAGCCACUUGAGAUUCUCCAUCAUUACGAUGGAUUUUGGAAUCGUGCUAUAUAAACGAUUGUCUGAAAUAUCUAGCCAUUCAAGACAUUUUAGGUUUGAAAUCGUAGCCGGAAGUUGACCAACUAAAUUGUUCUCAGAUGCAAUGAAAAUCUGCAACUGGCUCGACAGGUUCCCCACAUAGUUAGGAAUGCCACCGGUGAAAUUAUUUGAAGAGAUUAGAAUAACCUGGAGCUUUCUAAAAUUAGAAAAAGUAGAUAAGAAGCUAAGAUCCCCCUCUAGGAAGUUCUUAGAAAUAUCAAUAUGAGACAUAGAGUUGAUACUACCAAUUGUUUCUGGUACCGAUCCAAGGAACAUAUUAUCGUUUAAGAGCAGGAAUUCUAAUUCAGACAGGUUACCAAUAGAAGCAGGAAUGGGCCCGACUAGUUGAUUGCCUGAGACAUCCAACCAAAUGAGUUGGUCCAACUGUCCAAACUCUUCGGGAAUGGCUCCUGAUAUGUUACAGCAUGUCAGGUCUAGUAAACCUAGCUGAGUGAGGUUGCUAAGUGCAACUGGAAUUGGACCAACAAGGUGAUUCAAACCCAAGGAAAGGAUACUGAGAUGAGAAAGCUUUCCCAGCCACGUUGGCACAACACCCUCAAAGAAAUUAUCACUGAGGGAGAUAGUUUGGAGGUAGCGACAAGAGGAGAGCCCCAACGGAAUCUCACCGGUGAAUUUGUUGAUGGCCAGGCUGAUCUGUUGCAACGCUGGUAGACUAAAACUUUCGUUGUUAGGGAUUGGACCAGUUAAGUUGUAGUUUGAUACAAGCCAAAUUUCAGUUAAUCUAGAAUUGUUGAAUAUGGAUGGAGGUACCGGGCCGCUGAAAUGAUUCACUUGAAGGACAAGGGACUCAAGCAUUGGUAAGGAGCCAAUACAAGAUGGUAUAUGUCCUGACAGGCUGUUGUUGCCGAAUAUUAGGUGAGUUAUCAGAGGGGUAUUAUUAAAUAGAUAGGUGGGUAUUGAGCCGCUCAGGUAAUUCCUGAAGACACUGAAGUGGCCAAGACUCUGUAGGUUUUGCAGUUCUACCGGGAUUGAACCAGAUAGAUGGUUAUAACUUAUAAUAUAGGGCAAGAACACGAAGCCUUGUGAGGUUUCCUGUGGUGGUUGGGAUGCUACCUGAUAGGCCAUUGAAUCCGAGAUAUAGGUAUUUAAGACGACGAAGCCGUCCUAAAUCAUCAGGGAUGGAGCCCGUGAGAUUUGUAUUGUUGAGGUUGAGGACGGAGAGGAAAGAGAGAUUACCAAGGUGUGGAGUGAUUGGUCCAUGGAGGGGGGAGCCCGGCAGUUCCAAAGCGAUGAUGCGCUGCCGGCGCCGACUGCAUGCGACACCAACCCAGUCACAGAAAUUCGUGUUGGUGGUCCAGUUGUUGGCAAGGAUGCUGAGAGGGUCGGAGAGGUGUGCUUUGAAAGCAAGCAGGGCAACAAGAUCGGUGUCGCUGCCAUUGCUCUUGCUUGGACCAGAGGAAGAAGACGUGGGUACAGUGGACAGCAAGGUGAUGAAGAAGAGAAUGGGUAUGGAUAUGGAUGGAAAUCCAAGUGAGGCCAUGUAUGUUUGGGACAGAGAUGCAAGUGCACGCUUUGGCUUUGGGCUGAUAUGUUAUCGAUCCGUUCAUCCAUCUUAAUAUGGUGGGAAGGGCCGUUUCUGAUAGGCUCCAGCUUCCAAGUGGUGCUUUCGGUGUAAUAUUUUUGUGGAUUAGUGGAGAGAUCCCUAACUGAGAGCUUUUGAUAUAGGAGGCUCCAGCUUUUCCAAGUGGUGCUUUGCUUUCCACAUCAACGACCUUGACUUGCGGUCAAUCACUUGCUGGUCACUAAACGCACAUGCGUACUACUACUACGACAACAGGAAAUAAUGGAGACAAAAAGCUUCUGUUUGAUAUGUAGUGACAUAAGUAUGUACUAGCAAGACCCAAUUCAAGACUUAUAAACUGAGAUGGAGGGAGUAAAUAGAAAAUAAUUGGAUUGCUUUCAGUUUCAACUUUCUAAGACAUUUCUUUCAGCAUUUCGAUACAAGCAGCACUGAAAGCAUAGACCAUAUCUUCCUCCUUCCUACUGACGAUGAUGUGCAUUUACCCUAUGCUAGGCAUGUUUACUGCUGCUAAUGCGAAAGGAUUGGACCAAAUCUCACAUGGCGGGAUGUCGCAGUCAUAGGUGGAAUUCAUUCUUCCACGACAAUUGAUGCGCUAGCAGGCACUGGAGCAACUGGCACAUGCAACUGCCACCUGCCGAUAAAGAAUGGGUGUGUAGCCUUUGUCGUCGUCAUCGGUGACGGCUAGAUAAAAGUUAAAGGAAGAUUAUCAAAUAGCUUCAUUCGGUUUUAUUACUCAAAAUUACUCGUUGCUUAAAAAUGAUGGAGUGCAGCAAAUGCAUAAACAUAUGGUCGGCUGUUGAGGUUCCCCAUCUUCCAAACAUGUACCACAAGAUUCUACCAGAUUUGAACAAAUAUGUUUCGGCAAAAACAAAUCUAGUAAAAUAUGCAUUCAUAAGAAACUUUGUUUUAGGAAUUUGCAGGCGGCAUACACCAGCUUUUAUUCCUUUUUUAUGAGUGGCAAGAGUUCAUAUAAGGGAAACCGUUGUUCCCAGCACAAAAGUUUGAGCUUAUCAGAAAACAUAGAGGAGCAGCAGCCGAAGCAAAAUAUCAUGUAUAAGAGUUCCCAGCUGAAGCAAAAUAUCUUGGACAUCGCAGUAGGAUGCUACUCUGCUACUCCCUCCGUCCCUUAAUAUAAGUCCUUUUUGUAGUUCAAAUUGAACUGCAAAAACAUCUUAUAUUAAGGGACAGAGGUAGUAGUUAUUACAUGUUUCUUUCUGCCUGGAAGUACUCGGUAAACACCACAGAUUGUUUCAUACACGAUACAACUAUACAACCAUUGCUUCGUUUAUUUAUUUUACAAGCCAAGUGCAUCAUCUUGUGCAUUACAUCACACAUCAAUAUUUUCACUCAUGUCCUCGGAGGUUUCAGUCAGCUCGGACCACGGAGAUAGUAAGUAUACUUGGUAUGGGCGUGCCCUUCGUCACAGAAUAAUGGCCUCGAAGGCAUCCGCAAGCCAUCGCGGCCGCCUUCCAACAUCUCUAUCGCCUCACUCAUCAUCGGCCUGUCAUUAGACCUCAUAUGGAUGCACCAUAAUCCAGCAAUGCACAAGUUCUUCUCCAGCUCAUGCAUACCAGUAUCAUCAACACGAGCGGAUAUCUCACCCACAUGGUCUUGUUCAAUUAGCCGAUCAUACACCCACGCCGGGUAGUACACUUGGCUCGAGUUCGCCACAUUCGGGUCGGCGUUCCUUCUUCCUCCAGCCAUCUCCAGAAGCAGCAUUCAAAAGCUAUAAACAUUGGACUUGCUUGAUAUGACACCAAAGCUCCCAGAUAUCAUCUUAGGAGCUAUGUACCCAACAGUCCCACGUAUGGCAUUAGAGCAUCUCUAGCAGAUCCCUUAAAAACUCGUCGGGUCAUGUUUUUCCGGUGGAUUUAUAGGACGCGCAAUAAAAUCGGCCAGAACAGGCCUUGUGAAAACGGUCCGGCCCGUAAAAUUUUUACGAGAGCGCCCUGAAUCCGCAAUAUGUACUGACGCGAGGGCAUUUUAGGGUUCACGUCCUUUAUUUCCCGUAUCCCCCUCUGCCGCAAUCCCACAUCUCUGGCGAAGAAUCCCUUUUCCUCCGGCAGCGUUUUGCGGUGCACGUAGCCACCUGAACCUCGCCCCGAUGUCGAGUGUGGGUUNNNNNNNNNNNNNNNNNNNNNNNNNNNNNNNNNNNNNNNNNNNNNNNNNNNNNNNNNNNNNNNNNNNNNNNNNNNNNNNNNNNNNNNNNNNNNNNNNNNNNNNNNNNNNNNNNNNNNNNNNNNNNNNNNNNNNNNNNNNNNNNNNNNNNNNNNNNNNNNNNNNNNNNNNNNNNNNNNNNNNNNNNNNNNNNNNNNNNNNNNNNNNNNNNNNNNNNNNNNNNNNNNNNNNNNNNNNNNNNNNNNNNNNNNNNNNNNNNNNNNNNNNNNNNNNNNNNNNNNNNNGAGUGUGGGUUGCGGGAGGGGUGGCCGAGGGGGGGGGGGGCUCAGUGGCCGCGAUGGCUCGCCGCCUCGCAAGCGCCGCAACUACGAUGAUACAAGAGCUCCUCCCUCCGCCCGCCAGUGGAGGAGUGGUGCAAGGAGCAGGCGCGAAAGCACAGCGCGCGGUCCCGCAGCUUCGGCUGCCGGGCCUGGAGCAACUUCGACAGGCUAGACCGGAUCUUCUCGCCCGCGAUCCAGUGUCUUCGGGUGGCCGAGCGUGCAGGGUUCGAGGCGAAGGAUGCGGCUGCCCUCGGAGACGAAGCUGCCGUGGUCUCCCGGUGGCGGAGCAACUUCUGUCAGCAACAUCAGCCACCUCUCCUCGAUCUCUUCAUGAGUGACCCGGAUGGUAUUGUUUUCAAACCCUCCCGACUGCAUCCCUCCUCAGUGCUUCAACCUGCCAUUCCACGACAUUAACAGCGGCAGCUGCUCGGGCGUCCAGAUGCUCGGGUGCCGCCACAGUCGUGUGCUUCUCUCCGGGCGGGCAGAGCUUAUUGUCAUUGUGCCCAUCACCGGCUACGUCACUUGGGGAUGCUCUGUGUUGCUGCUGACCAUGACAAUGUGUGCACGGAAGCUGUCACUUGAGCCCAUUCAAGGUGGUCUUGCUGUCCAAGGCCAGCCACCAUAGUGGUGCAAAGCACGCUUUUGCCAGUUUUACUCCUCAAAGACUGGCAUAUGAGGUGGCCUCAUCUCAAUACCGACUCCAUAUCAGUUUCAUGAUUAUCUUAGUCAUGGGUCACCUGUUGGUAAUUCACUUUAUUGGUUCUGCAGAGACUAUAUUUUUCAGUUUGAUUUAGACAGGCACAACCUAGCUUUGAUCAGAACGCCUCCCAUUAUAGAUGAUGCCCUCCACCACUUUGACGAGCGUUAGAUGGGGUCCACUUACAGUGAAGGAGGUGUACGUGGUCAUCUAUCUCUCAAGGACUUGGGAUGCGGUCCACCUACAGUGAAGAUAAAUACUCUAGUUGCCGAGAUAUAAAAGGCAACUAAUUUUAAAUAUAGUAUAUAGUCCAGGAUAGAUUAUACUCUAGGUUCCUUUUGACUUGUGCGUAGCAUGUAGGGAUAGAUUACUUCUAUGUGAGGGUCAAGUUGAUUAGUCGGAUCAGUAUAAGUAGUAAAGGAUGCUAUCAUGUAAAUGCAGGUUAUAUUUUUAUAAUAAACACGAUGUGUUUUUAGGGUAAAUACCCGUAUCGAGUUUUGGGGGAAGCUGUCUAAAAAUUCAUAAGUUUUGGAGGAAGCUUUAGAAAACCUUUGCGAUUUAUCUUCGUGAAAAUUGUUUUGUGCGUGAGUACCAUCGUCGAGAUUGGUUUUCUCGUGCUGAGCUGUAAGGUUCAAACCCUCUACUUCAUGCAGACGCGUGCGCAGGUGAGAGGUUGCUGGUACUGAAGGUGGAGUGUCGUGAAAAAUCGGGCCGCAACAACAGAUGGGAUCUCGCCAACGGGGUUUUGUCUAUAUCAGGCAAAGCAAGGUCAAUUGUGAGGGUGUUACCGAAUGGGUGUUGUGGAAGACCAUUGAUUUGCAUAACAUUCAUGUGAUCCCUCCUGGGAUGAAAGAAGGGAGGCAAGGGUUGAUAUUUAGAUUGAGGUAUGCUGAGGGUACUGAUGAUAUAUUUCUACAUGUGGGGUUGAGUGUCUAUAUGGUUCGACUUAAGUCGAUGCACUCUAAGAAACAUUGUGAAGCCCGUUGUGUUGAUGGCUAUUAUUCUUUCAAGAGUUUCUAUAUGUCAGGUGAUUGUUCCCCAUUAGUCCUCAUACCAUAGGAAUAACCUAAUCUUGUUAUAUUUUAUACAUAGGUGCUUGAGUACCUUUGCUAGAUAGAUGAACUUAUAGCGGUCCUGUUUAGUACUCCCUCCGUCCGGAAAUACUUGUCUUAGGAAUGGUUGUAUCUAGACUUAUUUUAGUUAUAGAUACAUCCAUUUUCAACCAUUUCUAAGACAAGUAUUUCCGGACGGAGGGAGUAUAUGUUAUCAUGUAAGAUAGCCGUACUUUGUGUAAUUGUGUUAUCCUUCAAUAUUGUUGCCUUCAUCCUUGAGUACCUUUUCUUGACAGAUGAACUUAUAGCCGUACUGUUUAGCAUAUGUUAUCAUUUAAGAUAGCCGUACUUUUUGUUAUCAUUCAAUAUAGUUGUCUUCAUCCUUGGGAGAAAAAAAACAAAUAUCAAAUGAAAUGACCAAUAGUAUAAAUUCUAAUGUCAAAUGGUUAACUCAUUUGGCAUGUUUGGAACCUUAACUACCUAUAUUCUUCUAUGGAGUACUUUUAAUCCUGCUAUUUUUCUUAACUCUGUAAAAGACCUUCCGUUGAAACAAUACAUUCCGGGGUAAUAGUUUUCUUUGUCACUUGUUCAAGACUGUCCUAGUUUUCAUAACUAGUACAUUUUUAACACACCCCUUUUCCCGAAUCAGGCUCCUUCAACACCCAAGUUAAGUUUUAUUGGUAGUGUUUAUGAGUUUUGGCAUGUUUUAUUUUGUCUUCUUCAUAUGACAAGGGAUGAGUUAAAUUCUAGAUCCUGUCUUGAUUUCCUAUGAGCUAAAUUAUUCAUUAUGAGGUAGCUAUGUAAGUAUGUAUACAUUAUACUGCUUUAAAAAUAUUCCUUACAAAAAGCAGCAUAUGUAGUUUUGUUUAUCUAUUGCCAAUAGUCAUCUAUAAAUCAUAAAUACACAAGUGAGUUGUUUUUCCUACAUUUGUUAAUUCAUCUAUGUAACAGACUAACUGUUUUCAUCACAUGCUUAUGCUCCUAGGCGCAGCCUUUGCUCGUGGAUGGGAUGGAGCUGAAACGUGAUGACUGUCUGCUUUGGUGUGCUAAUGUGCCGAAGCGGUUCAAAGAGUAAGACCUUGUGCAUAUAGUUUGCGAGAUUUGAGCUGUUUGAUUUUAUCUUUGGAAAUUAUCUGGCAGCAAUGUGAGUAGUAUGCACCCUGAAACUACUAACCAUCUGGCUAUUGGGAUUCACACAUGCUAAUAACACAGAGAAACAAGUAAAAUGGGAGUGAUGCCAAGUAAAUAAGGAAUCCUUUUAGCUGUAUCAAUGUAUAUAAGCUGAAAUCAUUUAUCAGUAGUCACGUUAUUACAAACAUCAGUCAUGUAAUUCAACUCUGCCACCCAAAAAUAUUGUGUGAAAAAGGAUGAGGGAUAUUUGUUGUCAUCAGUAUAAAUUUGCUUCAUGCUAUAAAUUUGCUUCAACCUGUAAUGUGCCAGUCAAGAGGUUUUGAGACAGAUCUAGCUUGAGGAGAUUGUCAAGAUGAAAUAGACUUGAUGGAAUAAUUGAUGAUAACUGGUUGGCAGACAGUAUCAGGUAUUCUAACUUGGUCAGGUUACCAAUCCCCUCUGGUAUUGAACCAGACAAUUUAUUGUUGGAAAGGAACAAAUGUCCUAUAUUCUUGAGCAUUGCAAUCUGAGGUGGGAUGGACCCAAACAAGUGAUUUCCGU
rnacentral:lncRNA from 1 species